CUGAAAAUAGUUUAAAAAAAAUAUAGGCUUUGGGAGCUUAAGAUUAAUUAUAAUUAUUUUUUGA
rnacentral:tRNA from 1 species